CCCAUCUCCAGGUGGAUCUCCCCUACACAACAACAAUACAGCGUUAGAUCUCUGUAUAUCUCAGCUGCCUCACUCAGCCUGCCCAUCUCCAGGUGGAUCUCCCCUACACAACAACAAUACAGCGUUAGAUCUCUGUAUAUCUCAGCUGCCUCACUCAGCCUGCCCAUCUCC